GGACGCGUAGCCUAGCCAGGAUAUGGCGACAGCCUCCUAAGCUGUAAACCGGGGGUUCGAAUCCCCCCGCGUCCG
rnacentral:tRNA from 2 species